rnacentral:rRNA from 1 species
UACGGAGGGUGCGAGCGUUAAUCGGAAUUACUGGGCGUAAAGCGCGCGUAGGCGGUCUGUUAAGACAGAUGUGAAAGCCCCGGGCUUAACCUGGGAACUGCAUUUGGAACUGGCAGACUUGAGUCCUGGAGAGGAAGGUAGAAUUCCAGGUGUAGCGGUGAAAUGCGUAGAGAUCUGGAGGAAUACCAGUGGCGAAGGCGGCCUCCUGGACAUAGACUGACGCUGAGGCGCGAAAGCGUGGGUAGCAAACAGG